GCGCAGCUUACACAUGCAGUCGAGCGGUAACAGGGGGUGCUUGCACCCCGCUGACGAGCGGCGGACGGGUGAGUAAUGCAUAGGAAUCUGCCCAGUAGUGGGGGAUAGCCCGGGGAAACCCGGAUUAAUACCGCAUACGCCCUUUGGGGGAAAGCAGGGGAUCUUCGGACCUUGCGCUAUUGGAUGAGCCUAUGUCGGAUUAGCUAGUUGGUGGGGUAAAGGCCUACCAAGGCGACGAUCCGUAGCUGGUCUGAGAGGAUGAUCAGCCACAUCGGGACUGAGACACGGCCCGAACUCCUACGGGAGGCAGCAGUGGGGAAUAUUGGACAAUGGGGGCAACCCUGAUCCAGCCAUGCCGCGUGUGUGAAGAAGGCUUUCGGGUUGUAAAGCACUUUCAGUGAGGAGGAAAACCUUCUGGUUAAUACCCAUGAGGCUUGACGUUACUCACAGAAGAAGCACCGGCUAACUCCGUGCCAGCAGCCGCGGUAAUACGGAGGGUGCAAGCGUUAAUCGGAAUUACUGGGCGUAAAGCGCGCGUAGGUGGUUUGAUAAGCGAGAUGUGAAAGCCCCGGGCUUAACCUGGGAACGGCAUUUCG
rnacentral:rRNA from 1 species